UUAUGUCAUACAAAAAAUAAUAAUAAUUUAUUUGAAAGAGUAGAUUUAGAAUAACCACGUAGAAAAGUUUAUUGCAAUAUCGCCUCCCGGGCUAGAACUGGUCAAGUCCGUUGUAUAAACCAAACAGUGGUACAACCCAACCAAAGUGGGCUAGUUGAGACUGGCCUUGAGCCAGCCUACCCAAAAUUUCAGUCCUGACAUCAAACUAGGGUUUCAGCCGUUCCUCUCUAUAUAUAUACUAGCAGUACAUACACACUCCGAUACAUUGCGGAGUUUUUGCUUGUAGGGUUUAUCAAAAUAGAAUUUUAUUUUUUUAAAUUUAUUUAUUGUUUGUUUGUUUGUGUUGCUAACUUGCUAUUGAAUGCAUAGGCGUUUCUCGAGGAUUAAGAUUGCAUGAUUUAGAUCACAGGAAAAUUGAAGCAGAUGAAGCUGUGUCGAUGGCAUUGGACAGACCUGAAAGGAGUAAUGGCAGAAGUGGAGAACAACCUUAGGGUGCUGUUUCACAAAGAUUCCAGCGUUACUCGUCUGAUAAUGUCCAUGACUGUAGUGUUAAACCAAUAAUUUCAUAUUUUCUUUUUUAUGUAAACCAUAAAGAAGAUAUCUGUAACCUUAUUUUGCUUAUAGAUUCAGUUUGCUUUGUUAAUGUAAUUUUUGUUUUAAAUCUAUAGUAUCAUUUAAAUUGGUCUA